AGAUGUGAGGGCAAUCUGGCUGAGACAUCUGUCACCCCAUUGAUUGCCAGGGUUGAUUCGGCUGAUGUGGCUGACGAGGCAAGUGUCCCCUUCCUUCCUUACCACUCCAUGUCCAUCCUUCUCGAAGCUGCACACUUGGUCAAAGAGGAAGACCAUCAAUGAUAGAGGAGGACUGGUCUUCAGUCAAGGGUAUAUGAGUAGCUGCAGUCCCCUGCUAGAACUUCCAAACAAACCCUCAAGAAAUUAUUCCAAGUGAAGAUGCAGUGAAAAUUGUUGACAUGACAAUAAAGGAUUUAGAAUAUGACAUUAACUUAGUU
ensembl:misc_RNA 7SK 7SK RNA